AGAGUUUGAUCAUGGCUCAGGAUGAACGCUGGCGGCGUGCCUAACACAUGCAAGUCGAACGGACUUACAUUGAAGCCUAGCGAUAUGUAAGUUAGUGGCGGACGGGUGAGUAACGCGUGGGUAACCUGCCUUGUACUGGGGGACAACAGUUGGAAACGACUGCUAAUACCGCAUAAGCGCACAGCUUCGCAUGAAGCAGUGUGAAAAACUCCGGUGGUACAAGAUGGACCCGCGUCUGAUUAGCUGGUUGGUGAGGUAACGGCCACCAAGGCGACGAUCAGUAGCCGGCCUGAGAGGGUGGACGGCCACAUUGGGACUGAGACGGACGCCCAAACUCCUACGGGAGGCA
rnacentral:rRNA from 1 species